GCAGGUCUCAAACUCCUGACCUCAGGUGAUCUGCCCACCUCAGCCCCUCAAAGUGCUGGGAUUACAGGCGUAAGUCACCACACCCAGCCCACAGCUGAUUCUUAUAUAUGUUCUUUUAUUCUGCAACCUUGUUAAACUUGUUAGCUCUCAUAGUUUUCUUUGUGUGUAUUUAUUCCUUAGGGCUUUCUAAGGUCAUGUCAUCUGCAGAUAGAUCUGAAUGCAUUUUAUUUCUUUUUCUUGCCUAAUUGCUCUGGCUAGAACCUUCAGUAUAAUAUUGAGUGCUAGUGGUAAGAGUGGACAUACUUGUCUUAUUCCUGAUCUUGGGGAAUAGCAUUAAAUCUUUCAGUAUUAAGUAUGAUAUGGGCUUUUCAUAAAUACUCUUUAUGAAGUUGAAGAAGUUUCCUUCUACUCCUGUUGGUUGAGUGUUUGUAUUAAGAAGGGGAUUGGAUUUUGUCAAAUGCAGCAUUUUCUGUGUCCAUUGAGAUGAUAAUAUGGUUUUGCCCUUUAUUAUGUUAAUAUGGUAUAUUAUAUGAAUUGAGUUUCAUGUGUCGAACCACUCUUGUGUUGCUGGGAUAAAGUCCACCUGUUUGUGGUAUAUAAUCCCUUUCAUGUAUGGCUGAAUUUGAUUUGCUAGUAUCUUGUUGGGGAUUUUUAUGUCUAUAUUCAGAAGGGAUUUGAUCUUUAGUUUUCCUAAGAUGUCUUCGUCUGGUAAGGUAACACUAGCUUCAUGGAGCUGGAGAGUGUUCCUUGUGACUCAGUCUUGACCAAUGGAAUAUGGCAGAAUAUGACACAGGAGGUUGGGUCACAGGGCCCUUGCAACUUCUGCCUGCAUUUCUUUGGAAACUCACUGUCGGGAUGCUUAUUGUUAGAUCCAGCUACCAGGCUAUAAGAAGUGCAGGACAUUUGGGGUGGAGGCCCUCCAGUCAACAUCCCUAGCUGACAGCAAGCAUCAGAUGCCAGCCAUGUGAAUGGGCCAUCUUGGACAUCCCGCUCAGUAGAUGUACAUACAGAUACUAUUGUAGCUUCAACUGACGUCCGAUCGUAAGGGAAAACUGCACAGCUGAGUUUAGUCAAUCCAUUGAACUGUGAGAGUUAAUAACAAAUUGUGGUUUUAAACCACAGCGUUUUGGGGUAGAUUUAUUACAUAGUAAUAGAGCAGGAAUCCAUUGGCUGCAGCCAUCCCUGGCCCAUACCUUUCUACAGAAUUGUGGAAGCAUGCAAUGGUGUUUUCUUUUCUCCUGUCUCUUGAAAAGGCCCUGAAAAAUGAAAUGGCCAGAAGGCAGCAUUGAAAAGAAGAGGGAGCCUGGGUCUUGGAACACCCAAGCCUAGGUAACCAGUGGCCUAUUUUCCAAAAGGUGCUUGCCUAGCUGUACUCUGCCUCUGCUCUUAGCAGAGUGAAUCAAAGGCUCACAGGGCUCACACAUCAGUCAGCCUUCAGCCACUUUGCUGCCCCUGUACCACAGGAGGGUUUUGCUUCUUUGAGUGCCCAGACCUGCCAUUGGCUGGCAUUUGGAGCCAUCUGCUCACUUAGUUUCCUAAAUGGAUCUGUCAUGUGGCAUUUAUCCUUAAUUCCCAGGGUUUUCUCAGACCUGCAAUUGGUCUGUAAGCUGAGCAUCUCAGACCAUCUUGCUAAUCCCACCUUCGAGCCUGUGGACAAAGCUGGACUGCCAUUCUAAAGACAGAUAUGACCUAAUAACCAGAGAAGCAGAACCGGGGUGGGCCCCAGGUAGAUGUGGAAGCUUUUGUGAGCCGGUGCAGCCUUCCCAAAUCCCACCCUAACCUUGGGGCCACAGUUUGCUUGCUGCACGUAAGAACUAACCAAAGGACUCUGUGUGUUGGAUAUUCAGUUUCCCUGCUGCACUCUCUAGGUGCAUCAGCUUGGUGUGUCUGCACCAAGCUUACUCCUUCAUUUUAAGAAAAAAAUGCCGAAGAUUUUGUAUCUUUUAUUUCAAUUUCCAUAAUAUCAAGAACCUAAAGAUGUACUGUACAUGAAAACAGGCUCAAUAUCAUCAGUUGUUAGGGAAAUGCAAAUCAAAACCCCAAGAGACACCACAUCACAUCCACUAGGAUGACUAUAAUAAUACAUAUUUUUUAAAUUAGAAAGGAAAAUUACAAGUGUUGGUGAGGAUUGUGGAGAAACUGAAACCCUUACACACUGGUGUUGGGAACGUAAAAUGGCACAGCCACUGUGGAAAGUUCCUCAAAAGAUUAGGCAUAGAGUCAUGGUAUGAUCCAGCAAUUCCACUCCUAGAUAUAUACCUAAGGUCACACAGAAACUUGUACACCAGUGUUCAGAGCAGCACUAUUCACAACAGCCAAAAGGCAGAGCUAACCAAAUGUGCAUCAAAUGGUAAAUGGAUAAAUAGAAUGUAAUAUAUCCUACAAUGAAAACUGUUCAGCCAGAAAAAGGCAUGAAAUAUUGAUACCUGCUAUAAUAUGGGCGAACCUUGAAAACAUUAUGUUAAGUGAAAGAAAGAAGCAAAGGACCAUAUAUUGGAUGAGUCCAUACCUAUGAAACGUUCAGAAUAGGGCAAUCCUUAGAGAGGAAAUAGAUUGGUGGUUGCCAGAGGCUGGGCAAAAAAGGGCAUUGAGAAGUCUGAGGUUUCUCUUUGGGGUAGGAAAAAUAAUCUCAAAUUAGAUAGUGGUAGUAGCUGCACAAUAUUGCGGAUCGCACAUUGGAGUGUACACUUUGGAAUGUUUAAAAUAAUGAAUUUUGUGUUCUAUGAAUUUUACCUCAAUAAAAAAUUUUCCAAAAAAAAAACCAAACCCUUCUACUUUAAUGGUUAUUGCUGUAAGGUGACAAUAUAUGUUGUUUGCCAUGUAAAGGGCCUUUCCCAGUCAAGAAGCAGGACUAGCCAGAGAAUAGGUGCUUCCCAGAGUGGCUUGACGGGGCAUGAAGAGUAUGGUCUGGGAGCCAAAGAAUUCUAGUUCUCCAUCUCACAUUCCAGCCGGGCAACUUCGGGCAAGUUCCUCAGCCUGGAGCACUCUGUUUAAGUCUUCUAAAUUGCAGAUCUAUCUCUAAAAAUGCCUAUAAAGUGCCCACUAUGCACUAGGCAUUAGUCCACUAGUCCCUGCUUAUCCACGAGGGAUACAGUUCCAAGACCCCCAGUGGAUGUCUGAAUCCACAGAGAGUACUAAACCCGGUGUCUACUGUUUUUGCCUAUGCAUAGAUAAAUACCUGUGAUAGUUUAAUUUUUAAAUGAGGCACAGUAAGAGAUUAACAAUAAUAACUAGUAACAAAAUGGAGCAAUUAUAACAAUAUGCCAGCAUCGCUACUCUUGUGCUUUGGAGCCGUUGUUCAGAAAAGUAAGGAUUACUUGAAUGCAAGCACCAAGAUGCCACAGCCUUCCAUCGGGUGACUGAGACGGCUACUGAGUGACUGAUAGGCAGGUGGCAUGGACAAUGUGGGCACGCUGGGCAAAGGGAUGAUUCAUAUCUCAGGUGGGAUGGAGCGGACGGUAUGAGAUUUCAUCAGGCUUCUCUUAACAGUGCGCAAUUUAAAACCUAUGAAGUGUUUGCUUCUGGGAUUUUCCACUUAAUAUUUUUGGACCAUGAUUGGCUGCAUGUAACUAAAACUGUGGAGAAUGAAACCAUGGAUAAGUGAGGACUCGUAUAUUUGUUCCGUUUUUCAGCUGGAGAAAAUGAGGCACAAGGAAAUAGAGUACUUGUCCAAAAGGAGACAGCCAGCGAGAGGCCGAGCAGCGUUCCACAGCAGGCAUUUCUGCUGCAGAACCUGUGGUCUCACGCUCUGCUCCAUGUGGCCUUCUAGGAGUGCCUGACCUCCCUACCUCCCAUGGCGCUGUGGGAUCCAGUGCCAUUAGACACAGGGAAACUGUCUUAUAAACAUAAACACUGUGCAGCACACACAAGGCUCAGUGUUGCUCCUGUCUCAGAUAUUAGCAAUGAGAGUUACAAAAAAAACACCUGGAGCUCAUCUGCCCAAGUGGUUAGUCCUGGCCUUACCCAAAAUGCAUUCCUUCUGGAGUUCACCAAGGACAUUAGGAUUGCCUUAUGUCCAGAUUUCUCUGGACACAGGAACAUGUCCCUAUAAGGCUUCUGAGAGGACCCUGAGAUUGCCAUCACUCCUUGGGGCCCGAACUUGGGGGCAAAGGAAAACCAGAUGGAUCCCGGAAUUCCUGGCACCAGCUGGGGCAGGUGAACAUGGGAGGGGGUGCUAACGUCUGGUAAGUUAUGUUUUUUGUAUUUAGAAGGGGGCCUGUAGACAGAAUCAAGUGGGAAGUAUAUCCCAUUUCCUUUUUGAGACUUCUGGUCCUGGAGCCGGUGGAGAUGCAGGGGUUGGUUAGGGAGAUUCCCUGGCCCAGCAUUUGACAGCUGCGUUGGAAACUCUCGGGGGCAGUAUGUAUGAUCUGGAGAGAAUAUAACAGAGCUGGGAGCCAGGGUGUUGCUCAGAUUCUGGCACUGGUGAAUCUGAGAAUCAGGAAGAUUCAGAAAAUGUGGCAGAAGAGCUGGUGUGUUGGCAGCCUGGACUCUGACACAUUGAAGGCCCCAGGCUUUUGGCCCCAGGCAGGCAUCAGUCCCUGCUACUGCAGCCCUGUGUCUCCACCCUGAAGCACUUCUUCUCUGGCUCCUCCUCUUCCCCACGGUGGCAGGCUGUCCACGCCUGCAUUCUCUAGGGCCUUCACAGCAGCCUCUUGACUGGGCUUUUCCUGGUUUCUGCCUCUCCAGUCCAGCUUUACCGUCUCCAGUGUGACGCUUCCGAAACUCAGGUCAGAUUGUCACUCUGCUCCUCGACUCAUGUCAGUGGGUCCCUGGGGUCUGCUGAGUGAAGUUGGCAUAUAGCCCCUCACCGUGGCCCUUGUGGGUCCUCCCAGCCCCAGCCACUGCCCCCCAGCAGAGUCCCUGUGUUCUCCGCAGACCACUCACCCUCUCCUGUCACUCCUCGGUUCCUGACUGCAGCCUGGGUCCACCUGGCAGCUUCCUACUCAUCCAUUAGGGCCCAACUCAAAUGAGGUUUCCCUGACACCACCCAACCCUCAGGCCCUUGCAGAAUUAGCCAAGUCUUCAUCUGUUUACAUAGCACAUUUCAGGUGUUUCUGUUACAGCAUAUAAUAAUAUCGUAUUAUAUCUUAUUUCACCUGUCCUGUUUCUGGUGGGCUCUGGGUUCAUUUAGCACAGACCCUAUGCCUCAUUUAUAUUCCUCUUUCCCUUGCCUGGCACACAGUAGGUGUUCAGUACGUGUAUUUUCCCAUGAGUGUUCAUGGGAUCUCUGAGUGCAACAAAGUAUAAACUGCUUAGUCCUUUCUGCCCUGCGUAUGAGGCUGGACCUAAGGCUAUCAUCCCUGGUGGUGUGUUUAAAGUUCUUCCCUCUCCUCUGGGUAUCCUGAGCAGAGAUGCAGGGAGAAAGGGGAGAAGACUCAUCUCAUCUCACCUUGAGCUCUAACUGCCAUUCAGACACCCCAGACGGACCAUUCAGUGUAGGCUGAAUGGCCAGACAGGCUCCUACGUGCUAAUCAGGUACCAUCUUGAACCCAGUCCAAAUGGGGAAGCUGUCAGUAUUUACACCCAUGUGCCCAGCAAACUGGGAGUGAGGGAAGUAAAGCGUGCCUGGGGCUGAGGCAUGGAAAGCCCAGGGUUGGAUCUGGAGUGUUUAGGCCAGGGAGAAAUGCCAAACCAUCAGGCAAUCAUCUUCCACAUUCAAGUUUUGAUUUUCAUUUUAAGUGCACAAAAUCCACAAUCUUUUUUUUUUUUUUUAAUGCAGCAGCAACAGCUUCCUAAAAAUGUGUCUCAGCUGAGCCGUUGUCCAUAACAGCAUGCCAUUUGGCCUUUGUAAAAGGAAAAACCUCUGUAUUUGUAUCUAGAACACCCACAGCUUAGUGUGUCAGAUGCUGCUGGCUAGUUUGAUUGGUUGCCUUGCGUGGGUGGCUUCCCGCGGGGGCUGGCUUCCCUAAAGUUGAGUGGGCAGUCCCAAGAGUUCUUCAGUCAUUUCUGCCUAACCCGAGGAAUGCCAGGUUUAAGCAGAGAUGAGGCUUCGUGAAGGAAUGGAUUCCUUUGCUUUUCUGUGGGGAGUGACUGAGGUUCCUAGAGUCUUCCUCGUGAGUGAAAAGGAAGUAGAGGUGUGUUCCAGCCAACUCUUCAGAUGAGGCAAGUGGAUUGAUAAUGGCGCAUUCCUAGAUUCCCAGAGACCUGGCUGGCGGGCUGCCCAGUGAUCCGGAAGUUCGGGUCAUCUCCACGUUGCUCUGGGCCCUGGCUCGGGUGCCAGACGCGGAGAGUAAUUAGAAGGGAGUGGAACAAUCGGGGAAGAUGAUGUUUGCCAGCCACAGGCCGUUUUUAUUGUCCCCGCGGGUUGGACACCGGGCUGAACCAGGUAGGACGGAGAUCAGUUUUAUUAUCGUCUUUCGGCCCCUUCUCCUCCUGGCUGGAAUUUCACAGAAGCUAACCAAUCUCUGCACAGGCGACUCCUCUUGUAUCAAAAGGCUGAAAUCCCUGGGGGUGUGGCCUACGCGGCAGCUGUUUCUCUCCUGAUUUCCAAGGAUAAUGUCAAGUGCCUCCGAGUGUGUGAAAUUCUGGCUGAAAAUAUGCACUUAUUUGGCCAUUACCCAGCACAUGACGACUUCUAUCUCGUGGUGUGCAGUGCUUGUAACCAGGUCGUCAAGCCACAGGUUUUCCAGUCUCACUGCGAGAGAAGACACGGUUCAAUGUGUAGACCUUCUCCCUCUCCAGCGUCUCCAGCCUCCAACCCCAGGACAUCACUAGUACAGGUGAAAACAAAAGCCUGUCUCAGCGGCCAUCACUCUGCCAGCAGCACCUCAAAGCCAUUCAAAACGCCCAAAGACAAUCUACUUACCUCCAGCAGCAAACAGCACACAGUCUUUCCUGCAAAAGGAUCAAGGGAUAAACCAUGCGUUCCGGUUCCUGUAGUCAGUUUGGAGAAAAUUCCUAACCUAGUGAAGGCAGAUGGUGCCAAUGUCAAAAUGAACUCUACAGCCACUACUGCAGUUUCCGCCUCCUCCACCUCGUCCUCCGCUGUCUCCACCCCUCCUUUAAUUAAGCCGGUCCUGAUGUCCAAGUCAGUGCCACCUUCACCAGAGAAGAUCUUAAAUGGCAAAGGAAUUCUGCCAACCACCAUAGACAAGAAACACCAAAAUGGCACCAAAAACAGCAACAAGCCUUACAGGAGACUUUCAGAGAGAGAAUUUGACCCAAAUAAACACUGUGGAGUGUUGGAUCCCGAGACAAAGAAACCUUGCACAAGAUCCCUCACCUGCAAGACACAUUCGCUAAGCCAUCGGAGGGCAGUCCCGGGCCGGAAAAAGCAAUUUGACCUCCUCCUGGCAGAACACAAAGCCAAGUCCCGGGAAAAAGAAGUUAAAGAUAAAGAGCAUCUCCUGAUUUCCACAAGGGAAAUACUUCCAAACCAAUCCGGGCCGGCACAGGAUUCUCUGCCAGGGUCUUCAGGGAGCUCUGGGCCAGAACCGAAAGUUGCAUCCCCUGCAAAAUCCAGGCCACCUAACUCUGUACUUCCUAGACCAUCAUCUGCAAAUAGCAUAAGCAGCAGCGCGUCUUCAAAUCAUAGCGGCCACACUCCAGAGCCCCCACUGCCACCGGUUGGAGUUGACCUCGCCAGCCGACUGUCCAGUGAUGAAGGGGAGAUGGACGGAGCCGACGAACCCGAGAAGCUAGACUGUCAGUUCUCCACACACCACCCCAGACCUCUUGCGUUUUGCUCAUUUGGGAGUCGCCUCAUGGGACGAGGGUACUAUGUAUUUGAUAGAAGAUGGGAUCGUUUUCGAUUCGCACUAAACUCCAUGGUAGAAAAACACCUGAAUUCACAGAUGUGGAAGCACAGAAGCCCGAGCCACAGGGCAUCAGGUCCCUCCCCCCUGUUCAGGACUUGCCUAACCAAUCUGCUGUCACUGAGCAACAUUGGGGCUGCCUGGGUGUCAACUCUGGAGAGCGUAGCACCCCGCUACCCUCUCAACCUCGCUGCCCAAACCCCAGGCCCAGGCGGGCCCGAACCUGCAGGGAUGGCAGCCGAUGGGGGCGUGGAAGACAUUAGGAAGAAAAGGAACGGCCAAGACUCUUUUUUCUUUAACAAGCAUUUAACUCUGCAUCAGGAGCCGCCAACACAGUAUUCUCUUUCAGCCAGGAAGAUCCCUCCUGCGGCAGAUAGCCCCCUGCCCUCGCCGGCAGCCCACAUCACCACCCCCGUUCCAGCAUCCGUUUUGCAGCCUUUCAGCAACCCCAGUGCUGUGUAUCUUCCUUCAGCUCCCAUCAGCUCGAGGCUCACCUCUUCUUACAUAAUGACAUCAGCCAUGCUCUCAAACGCAGCUUUCGUGACAUCGCCGGACCCGAGCGCCCUCAUGUCCCACACCACAGCUUUCCCUCAUGUGGCCGCAACCCUCAGCAUCAUGGACUCAACCUUCAAGGCCCCAUCCGCCGUGUCCCCGAUACCAGCUGUCAUCCCUUCCCCAUCCCACAAGCCAUCCAAAACCAAAACCAGCAAAUCCUCAAAAGUCAAAGACCUGUCCACCCGUAGCGACGAGUCUCCAAGUAACAAAAAGAGGAAGCCGCAGUCUUCGCCUUCCUCCUCCUCCUCCUCCUCCUCCUCCUCAUCCUUGCAGACAUCCCUCUCGUCUCCACUGUCAGGGCCUCACAAAAAGAACUGUGUUUUGAAUGCCAGUUCUGCUUUGAACUCCUAUCAGGCAGCCUCUCCCUAUAACAGUCUGUCUGUGCACAACUCAAACAAUGGGGUGAGCCCACUCAGUGCCAAACUGGAGCCCUCAGGACGGACCUCGCUGCCCAGCGGCCCCGCGGACAUAGUGAGACAGGUGGGCGCGGUGGGAGGCAGCAGUGACUCCUGUCCCCUCUCUGUGCCCUCCCUUGCGCUCCACGCGGGGGACCUCUCUCUGGCCUCACACAAUGCUGUGUCUUCUCUGCCCCUCUCUUUUGACAAAUCAGAAGGAAAAAAGCGUAAGAACUCAAGUUCUAGUAGCAAAGCCUGUAAAAUCACUAAAAUGCCUGGUAUGAAUAGCGUUCACAAAAAGAACCCGCCCAGCCUUCUCGCACCGGUGCCCGAUCCCGUUAACAGCACCUCCUCUCGGCAGGUAAGGGACCUCCUGGCACCGCCUUCACCGGCUCUGGGGGGCAGGGGGAGCUGGGCAGCGCCCCUGCUUGGCCGGGCGGCUCCGACAGGUAACACAAGCUUGACUCCUUCCCUCGUUCUCCCUAAGGGCAGUUUUCACCCUCUGCUUUGAGAGCACUUGAUUGAACAAGUACUUGAUACCAUGCUCACUAUGUGCUAGGCGCUGUUCUCAGUACUUUACAGAUAUUACCUCACCGAGCCCUCAUGACACUCCAGUGCAGUGGGUGCAGUUAGCACUGUACAGAUGAGGAAACCGGGGCAUAGAGAGAUUCUGAGUUCCCCGCUCCACAUUGGUCAGUUUUAUGUUUUAAGGUUCUGAGGACGUUGUCAUUAAAGAGUUCUGUUGCUAAGAAGCUUGAUCUGAUCUGUUGGAACCCCUUAGGAAGAGCUUGAGGCCCAGGCAGGUUAGAUGACCCGGGGUCCCACCUGGGAGUGGAAGCGCCUGUGCCCAGCUCCCAGGUGACUGUCCUUCCCACUUUUCUAGGCUGCCUCGACCCCCACGUCCUCCUCAUAGAACUCAUUCCUUCCUAAAGGAAAACUGCAACUCCCACCAGCUGGCAGAGAAGUGUUCAAUGCCACAGUACAAAUAGGAGUGUGUAGGGUGAGGAAGCUGAGAGAGUGUGGCGCGGUCUGAGGACACGUUCCUCUCCCCUGAGCUUUACUCUCAUCCCUGAGUCUAGUCCUUCUGCUCCGGCUGGGGAGGCUACUUAGGAAAGCCCAGCACCACCACCACUACCCCAGCCCAGCCUCUGGGGCCGGUCGGGCAGAGAUGAGGGAGAGGACGUCGGGAGGGGCCGGCCUGGGAUUCUCUGCAGAGCUGGGUCUGGCGAGAGGACCGGCCAACCUGCCCCAGAGCCUAGACCCAUCAGGGCAGUGUGUCCAGAGACCAUUAUACAGAAUCAAGGGAACCAGACCCCAAGCCCAGCCCCAUCUAGGGUUGAGGACUUUGGAGCAAUGGGAGGCAGUUGUUAAAAGAUGUUUUAAUGUUUUAUGUCACCGCUUAUGAGACUUGUUAUAACCUCAUGAAGAGCACAGCCUGAGGGGGAUUCACAAAUCACAAACACAUGAGAAACAGCAAGUUUGGAACCCAAGGGCCAGACAAGCUGCAAACCAAGGCCAAGGUUGGGAAAAAUAGCAGCCUAGCUUUGCCACAAUCCAGUCCUUCAAGUAUAUCCAGCCCAGGACACAGCCGACAG